rnacentral:rRNA from 1 species
CGCUGGCGGCACGCCUAAUACAUGCAAGUCGAACGGAGUAGCAAUACUUAGUGGCAGACGGGUGAGUAACAUGUGGGUAUCUUCCCUUUGGUGAGGAAUAACACGAGGAAACUUGUGCUAAUACCUCAUAAGUCUUUACGGAGAAAGCUUUAUGCGCCAAUGGAUGAGCCCGCACUUGAUUAGUUUGUUGGUGGGGUAAUGGCCUACCAAGACUGUGAUCAAUAGCUGAUUUGAGAGGAUGAUCAGCCACAUUGGGACUGAGACACGGCCCAAACUCCUACGGGAGGCAGCAGUAGGGAAUCUUGCACAAUGGAGGAAACUCUGAUGCAGCGAUGCCGCGUGAGUGAAGAAGGCCCUUGGGUUGUAAAGCUCUUUCGUCGGGGAAGAAAAUGACUGUACCCGAAUAAGAAGGUCCGGCUAACUUCGUGCCAGCAGCCGCGGUAAUACGAAGGGACCUAGCGUAGUUCGGAAUUACUGGGCUUAAAGAGUUCGUAGGUGGUUAAAAAAGUUGGUGGUGAAAGCCCAGAGCUUAACUCUGGAACUGCCAUCAAAACUUUUUAGCUAGAGUUUGAUAGAGGAAAGCAGAAUUUCUAGUGUAGAGGUGAAAUUCGUAGAUAUUAGAAAGAAUACCAAUUGCGAAGGCAGCUUUCUGGAUCAUUACUGACACUGAGGAACGAAAGCAUGGGUAGCGAAGAGGAUUAGAUACCCUCGUAGUCCAUGCCGUAAACGAUGUGUGUUAGAUGUUGGAAAUUUAUUUUCAGUAUCACAGCGAAAGCAAUAAACACACCGCCUGGGGAGUACG